rnacentral:rRNA from 1 species
AUUGAACGAUGGCGGCAGGCCUAACACAUGCAAGUCGAGCGAGCGGCGGGCGGGUGUGUAAUGUAUGUGGAAUGCCCGAUAGAGGGGGAUAACUACUGUAAACGGUAGCUAAUACCCCAUACUACCUGAUAGCCCAUAGGGGAUUAGCUAGUAGGUGUGGUAAUGGCUCACCUAGGCGACGAUCCCUAGCUGGUCUGAGAGGAUGAUCAGCCACACUGGAAAUGAGACACGGUCCAGACGCCUACGGAGGCAGCAGUGGGGAAUAUUGCACAAGGGGCGCAAGCCUGAUGCAGCCAUGCCGCGUGUAUGAAGAAGGCCCUAGGGUUGUAAAGUACUUUCAGUCGGGAGGCGUUACCGACAGAAGAAGCACCGGCUAACUCCGUGCCAGCAGCCGCGGUAAUUC